rnacentral:rRNA from 1 species
UACGUAGGGAGCAAGCGUUGUCCGGAAUCAUUGGGCGUAAAGCGCGCGUAGGUGGCCCCAUAAGUCCGCUGUGAAAGUCAAAGGCUCAACCUUUGAAAGCCGGUGGAUACUGUGGGACUAGAGUACGGAAGAGGCGAGUGGAAUUCCUGGUGUAGCGGUGGAAUGCGCAGAUAUCAGGAGGAACUCCAAUAGCGAAGGCAGCUCGCUGGGACGUUACUGACACUGAGGCGCGAAAGCGUGGGGAGCGAACAGGAUUAGAUACCC